AUACGUAGGGUGCAAGCGUUAAUCGGAAUUACUGGGCGUAAAGCGUGCGCAGGCGGUUCGGAAAGAAGGAUGUGAAAUCCCAGGGCUCAACCUUGGAACUGCAUUCUUAACUACCGAACUAGAGUAUGUCAGAGGGGGGUAGAAUUCCGCGUGUAGCAGUGAAAUGCGUAGAUAUGCGGAGGAAUCCCGAUGGCGAAGGCAGCCCCGUGGGAUAAUACUGACGCUCAUGCUCGAAAGCGUGGGUAACAAACAGGAUUAGAUACCCUGGUAGUCCGCGCCCUAAACGAUGUGAACUAGCUGUUGGGCCAUUCGGGGCUUAGUAGCGUAGCUAACUCGUGAAGUUGACCGCCUGGGGAGUACGGUCGCAAGAUUAAAACUCAAAUGAAUUGACGGG
rnacentral:rRNA from 1 species